rnacentral:ribozyme from 1 species
ACAACAAAAACGCACAAGUAAAACAAACAAAAAACAAAAAUAAAAAUAAAAAAAACCCUCUCGACGCUCAACGGCGAGAACAUUUCAUGUUUUUUUUUCUCUUUUCCUCUU